GAUAGAGGAAUUCCUAGUGUAGAGGUGAAAUUCGUAAAUAUUAGGAGGAACACCAGUGGCGAAGGCGUCUAUCUGGUUCAAAUCUGACGCUGAGGCGCGAAGGCGUGGGGAGCAGACAGGAUUAGAUACCCUGGUAGUCCACGCUGUAAACGAUGAAUGUUAAAUAUGGGAAGUUUUACUUUCUGUAUUACAGCUAACGCGUUAAACAUUCCGCCUGGGGACUACGGUCGCAAGAUUAAAACUCAAAGGAAUUGACGGGGACCCGCACAAGCGGUGGAGCAUGUGGUUUAAUUCGAUGCAACGCGAAAAACCUUACCACUCCUUGACAUGGAAAUUAUACCUAUUCGAAGGGAUAGGGUCGGUUCGUCCGGGUUUCACACAGGUGUUGCAUGGCUGUCGUCAGCUCGUGUCGUGAGAUGUUGGGUUAAGUCCCGCAACGAGCGCAACCCUCAUCCUUAGUUACCAUCAGGUAAUGCUGGGGACUUUAAGGAAACUGCCAGUGAUAAACUGGAGGAAGGUGGGGAUGAUGUCAAGUCAUCAUGGCCCUUAUGGAGUGGGCUACACACGUGCUACAAUGGUGGCUACAAUGGGCUGCAAAGUCGCGAGGCUAAGCUAAUCCCUUAAAAGCCAUCUCAGUUCGGAUUGUACUCUGCAACUCGAGUGCAUGAAGUUGGAAUCGCUAGUAAUCGUGGAUCAGCACGCCACGGUGAAUACGUUCUCGGGUCUUGUACACACUGCCCGUCACGCCAUGGGAAUUGGUUUCACUCGAAGCUAACGACCUAACCGCAAGGAGGGAGUUAUUUAAAGUGGGAUCGGUGACUGGGGUGAAGUCGUAACAAGGUAGCAGUAGGGGAAUCUGCGGCUGGAUCA
rnacentral:rRNA from 1 species